UACGUAGGGGGCAAGCGUUAUCCGGAUUUACUGGGUGUAAAGGGAGCGUAGACGGCACGGCAAGCCAGAUGUGAAAGCCCGGGGCUCAACCACGGGACUGCAUUUGGAACUGCUGAGCUAGAGUGUCGGAGAGGCAAGUGGAAUUCCUAGUGUAGCGGUGAAAUGCGUAGAUAUUAGGAGGAACACCGGUGGCGAAGGCGGCUUGCUGGACGAUGACUGACGUUGAGGCUCGAAAGCGUGGGGAGCAAACAGG
rnacentral:rRNA from 1 species